CCUUUGUAGUGCACACUGGUUGUUCACCAAAUGUUGCUACACAUUGUACACAUGUUUUAAUAAAUUGUACUUUCUGUAUGUGUGUUAGGUUUGUAAUGCAAUUCAUUAACACAAGUUUACUAAGUACAUUCUGAACACCUUUGUAUGAGAACCGAUAGUCUGCAUUAGCAGUAACACUACAAUUAUCAUAGUGCUCUUUUUAGACUAGCUGAUUCACUCUAAAUGUGGUUUUUAUUGUACAUUGCUAUACUCUAACGGUAUAAUGCUCAAGGUCUGGAAAUGAUGGCCGAACUGAUAACUUCCAAAACAGACUUCCUUGCUAUGGAUAUCUCCGCACUGGCUACCAAGCACCCUGACGUCAGGUCUAUAGUCAUGUCAUUGCCAUCCUGGCUAUGAGGGGAGACUUUAACAGGUCACUCAUCGCAAAGAUAAUGCAGCAGACUCUGAUGAAGGACGACACGGAUGGCUGGGGGCAGACGUGGGCGAUGCCCACCGGUCCAUCUCCUCACCACGUAGGGAAGCCAAUAGAAGCUUGUUUUCUCAGCUCAAAGUCACCAACCCUUACUCCUUCUUCGGAAAGUAGAUAGUCAUUAAAAUUAAUUGGAACAAUGUACUUUUUAGCAUUUUUAUAGCCACGCUUUCUGUAGACUAUAAUUAUAAUUAUUCAUGUACACAAUACACUGUAUGCAAUCACCUGAUCUUGUUUAUGCAAUGUACGAUAAUUAAUUUACACUGUAAACAAU